UUUCCCACCCAAGAGUCCACUCUCCAUGAUAAAAACUGAAGCUUCUCAAGGAGAAGUUCCAAAAGACUUGGCAGUCUACAUCAAAGCCCUAACUCCCAUCACUGCAAGAAAUGCAGAUGCUGUUGGUGGUGGUGGUGGUGGUGUUUUGUUUAGUCAUUUUUUAUAUUUAUCCACGGAACCUAAGAGAACUUACUUCUUAAAAAGUGAACCUACUCACCAGAUCAAACAUCCAAACAAAUACAAAAAUCAACCUCUAAUUGAGGCAUUUGAACUUAAACGAUCCUUUCUGUCAAGUUCGGGUGUCAGCAUGUGCCUGUACGAUCUCUUUGGACAUUGUACCUUUCCUUCAUGGGAAAAACACAUCUAUCUUGAGAACCAGCAGUGAAUACUCGAAUGUUUUCCUUUCCCCGAUUGAAACUUGCUAGAGGGAUGGAUCGGUGAUAGGGCAUCCUGGAAAGGCACAAGCUUUAGGAGUCAAAAAACAGUCAGUACAGAUUGUACCUCCAUCAUUUCCUGGCUAUGCAGUCUUGGGGGCAAUAAUUAUAAUAGGCAACACAGCGGGUGCUACUCUUUACCUGGUGCUAUAUUGAAUAAAACGAUGGAUGAAACUUAA